rnacentral:lncRNA from 1 species
CUCAAGCCCAAGCUCAAGGCAGUCUGCAGUGUACCUAGCUGGUCCAAGCCCAAGGGGAGGCCCAGAGCCCCCUGACCAAACCUGCAGUGAGGACCCAAACCCUAGUCCAUGGGAGUCUGCAGUGUGCCUGACCAGUGUAAGCCCAGAGUAGGCCUGUAACCCUUGCCUAGAGCCCAAGAGGAGGUACUAAGGGAAACAGAGCCAAGAGACUUGCUUAGGGAUUCUACUCUCAAGGCAUUCUACUGGGCAGUCAAUGGCUAUAUCCACAGAGGAAAUUGGGAAAACCUCUCUGAACCAAUGCAGAGUCAAGUGGGCCAACUAAGAGAAUAACUGCUUUAAAGAAAAUAACAACAUAGAACAAAGUAAAGAACAAUUUAUACAAUGAAAACAAUGUUAUAAACAACUUGAAAGUCU